GAUGAACGCUGGCGGCGUGCCUAAUACAUGCAAGUCGAACGAAACUUCUUUAUCACCGAGUGCUUGCACUCACCGAUAAAGAGUUGAGUGGCGAACGGGUGAGUAACACGUGGGCAACCUGCCCAAAAGAGGGGGAUAACACUUGGAAACAGGUGCUAAUACCGCAUAACCAUAGUUACCGCAUGGUAACUAUGUAAAAGGUGGCUAUACUACCGCUUUUGGAUGGGCCCGCGGCGCAUUAGCUAGUUGGUAGGGUAAAGGCUUACCAAGGCAAUGAUGCGUAGCCGAAUUGAGAGGUUGAUCGGCCAAAUUGGGACUGAGACACGGCCCAAACUCCUACGGGAGGCAGCAGUAGGGAAUCUUCCACAAUGGGCGAAAGCCUGAUGGAGCAACGCCGCGUGGGUGAAGAAGGUCUUCGGAUCGUAAAACCCUGUUGUUAGAGAAGAAAGUGCGUGAGAGUAACUGUUCACGUUUCGACGGUAUCUAACCAGAAAGCCACGGCUAACUACGUG
rnacentral:rRNA from 1 species